rnacentral:misc_RNA from 1 species
GAUGAAGAACGUAGUGAAUUGCGAUAUGUAAUGUGAAUUGCAGAUUUUCAGUGAAUCAUCGAAUCUUUGAACGCACCUUGCGCUCCUUGGUAUUCCGAGGAGCAUGCCUGUUUGAGUGUCAUUAAAUUCUCAACUACACUGACUUUGAAUUGGUGUGGCUUGGAUUUGGGGGGAAAAUUGUUGUGGGCUUUUUGUAUAGUCUGCUCCCCUGAAAUUGAUUAGCGGUACCUUUGUGGAACUGUCUACAGGUGUGAUAAUUAUCUACAUCUUAGACAUCUGCUGGAAUGCUGCUUUCUAAACCUUACUUGUAUUGACAAUCUUGACCUCAAAUCAGGUAGGACUACCCGCUGAACUUAAGCAUAUCAAUAAGCGGAGGA